CCCCUGCUGCAGCCACCCUUUGCCUUUAUCUCCAAUUUCUUUAAUAAGAAAUCUCAUCUCUAAUUGCUCGACCAUCUCUCUCCCUGGGAAAAACCUAGCGCCGCCAUCUACCGCUGGCUCCGUCCUCCCUUCCAUCCAUGAUCCACCGGCGCAGCUCCUCGCUCUCCCGGGCCACGGCCUACGUCUCUGAUCCCGUCGCCUGCUGCCUGCCUCUUUUCCCCGGCGUGGAUGGCUUCGCGCUGUGAGAUCCAACUUCCUGAAGGCCGUCUUCAACAGCGAACUUGUGUGUUGCCUAGCGGAAGAGUGAAGAAGAUCCUAGCGGUCGUAGACCUCUCUCCACACCCCCAUACAAUCUUCCGUAGUACCUGGACUAAUUCGUGUGUGGAAGGUAAUCUGACUUUUUUUUGUUUCUGUUCUUUCAAUGCCCGCUUGUAAUUAGUAAGAAGUACUACUUCUAUGUAGUUUUCUGAACUCCCAUCUCUCUAUCGACCACUAUGGACUCAAUUUUGAAUUGAUCUUACAGAUUACUUUCUCUGUUAUUUCUUCUAAAUUAUCAAUCCUCACAUCUGCAAGGUGCUUGAUAAUAUGCCUCUGUGAUAUUACCCUCCUGAAGCAAGAUGGCAAAUGUUCUUGAUUAAUAUUUCCUCUUGUAUUUUCCAUGAACUGAACAAUCGUAUGAAGACAGCACCAUAUGUCAAUAGUUAUUUACUGGAAUUUUUAUAUACCCAGUGAGUUAAUUUAUUAGUCAUUUGUCAUCCUUUGCAGAAUUUUUCUGGGCGAGGAUUUUGUCUAAGAAGCACAAUCAAGGCUAUAGGAAAUUCAGAGAAACGGAGAAGACAUGGGAGCUGAUGUACAGUUAUCUGCAUGUAGAAACUACGAAGUUUCAACUAGUUAGAAUUUUUUUCUAGUGUGCAUACAUGUUGUACCACUCAGCUGUAAAUAUACUAUCAUCACUAUUGGUAAUAUAAUGUAUAAUGUUAUAGCCCCUUCCGUGUGA